GUGGUGUUUGGAUCGUCCCUGCCGGCUGGGUCCGUGCCCGUCCCCCGAACGGUCGGCAGGCGAUCCGCGUCGGCGCGCGGGGUGGUAUGGUUCCCCAGAGGCCGGUUCUUGUGUUGGCUACCCUUCACGGGGAAGCAGGCCUCCUGACGGUUGAAAGCCUCCAUCCGGCGCCCUCCAACGGGCGCAGGAGGACAACGUAGCACCCCCCGCGUUCCACCGAACCCUCGCCGGUCGCGUGGGCCGCGGGGACGUGGGACGCUCUCGGACCCAGCGCACGCCGUGGGCGAGGACUCACGUCCCUGUCCCAAGAGAAGCCUCGAUGUAACGUUGACGGCCGCUCCCGCCCCCCGACCGCCCCGGCGGCGCGGGGGCGCGGCGCGGCGUCGCCGAGGAAUGCUACCU
rnacentral:misc_RNA from 1 species